rnacentral:rRNA from 1 species
ACUCCUACGGGAGGCAGCAGUGGGAAUAUUGGACAAUGGGAACCGACUGAUCCAGCCAUGCCGCGUGUGUGAAGAAGGCCUUCGGGUUGUAAAGCACUUUCAGUGGGGAGGAAAGGUUGUUGGUUAAUACCUAACAGCUGUGACGUUACCCACAGAAGAAGCACCGGCUAACUCCGUGCCAGCAGCCGCGGUAAUACGGAGGGUGCAAGCGUUAAUCGGAAUUACUGGGCGUAAAGCGUGCGCAGGCGGUCUGUUAAGCGAGAUGUGAAAGCCCCGGCUGCAACC